rnacentral:tRNA from 1 species
AAGCAAGAAGCAAUUAUGCAAUCAGUUUCGACCUGAUCAUAUGAUGUACCAAAGCAUCCUUGCUUU